rnacentral:rRNA from 1 species
UACGGGGGGGGCAAGCGUUGUUCGGAAUUACUGGGCGUAAAGGGCUCGUAGGUGGCCAACUAAGUCAGACGUGAAAUCCCUCGGCUUAACCGGGGAACUGCGUCUGAUACUGGAUGGCUUGAGUUUGGGAGAGGGACGCGGAAUUCCAGGUGUAGCGGUGAAAUGCGUAGAUAUCUGGAGGAACACCGGCGGCGAAGGCGGCGUCCUGGACCAACACUGACACUGAGGAGCGAAAGCCAGGGGAGCAAACGGG